GAUGAACGCUGGCGGCGUGCUUAACACAUGCAAGUCGAACGAAGCACUUUAUUUGAUUUCUUCGGAAUGAAGAUUUGGUGACUGAGUGGCGGACGGGUGAGUAACGCGUGGGUAACCUGCCUUAUACAGGGGGAUAACAGUUGGAAACGACUGCUAAUACCGCAUAAGCGCACAGGACCGCAUGGUCUGGUGUGAAAACUCCGGUGGUAUAAGAUGGACCCGCGUCUGAUUAGCUAGUUGGUGAGGUAACGGCCCACCAAGGCGACGAUCAGUAGCCGACCUGAGAGGGUGACCGGCCACAUUGGGACUGAGACACGGCCCAA
rnacentral:rRNA from 1 species